ACGAAUAUUUGAGCAGAAUGAGUUCGAGAGUAAAUGAGUAAUAUGUUACUAGUAACUUGAUAAAUACUUUUCUGAGUCUUUUUUACAUUUUUGUCUCAGAUUGAUGGAUUUUAAGUACUAUAUAAGUAUGUGCAUAGUAACAAUAUGUUAGCAUUUGUUAUACAGGUAUUAUGACAUAGUUAUGCAUAUGAUGUAGUUAUACGUUGAGGCAUAACCUUUGUAACUGAUACGAGGGUUUUGUUUGAUGCUUCUUUAUGUCCUAGAUAGUUCGACUACAAUUCGGUGGUAAAAACACCAAAAAAUACUCAAUUCCGUAUCGAAUAUAUGCAACAGAAGUUAACCGAUGUUCAAAUCUCAUGAAUAAAUUAAACAGGCAAAUCAAGACAAGACUGGACAAUGUCAAGAUGUUCAAAAUUACAAUAUUAGCUUAACAUGGAUGAAUGCAACUUCAAAAUGUGGCACAGACGGACUUGAACAUGAUGAGGCGAUUCUUACUAACCUGUCUAUUUUACUUGAUAAGCAGUUUUGGAUAGGUAAAGGUAUUUACAAAAUACGUACUCCUUGGAUGGAAGUUUUGGGUAUGUAUGCAUUUAAUAUAUCUUUAUACGGUUAACUGAUUGCAAAUACUAAUUUAUAUCGUCAAUUUGAUAAAACAUGUCAGAUAUGUUGAAUAAUGUUUGGAUAGUUCAUACUAUAUAAACUCUACCUUGCUGAAAUGUUUUACCAUAAUACCAAAGACACGAAACAUAUUUUAUGAAGAAAAAAUAAACUGCAACACAGAAUAGUUUUUUGGAAUACUUUGAAGGACGAAUUUCCCAAAGGCCAAGAAAACUAGACGCAAAUAAGGACAUACGAUACUAUGAAUCAGGUGGUAACCUAUCUUAAUUUAGGGUGUUGUUUUGACACGUUGCUUAAAAUAUGCAUCUGCAUUUUAUGAAAAACACACAAACGUCAUCAAAUCAAUUGUACGAUUACAAACAAUGUAACUCAGUUUUCCUUCAAAUCCAUUAAAAGCCCAUAAUCUAAAGAAAGCCUCACAAAAACAACUGAGUGAAAUUAUCUCAUUAAUUCUAAAGCGCUUUACUAUUUUAUUGGCAAAGUAAAGAAAUAUCAAAAUUUGUGUUUUUACCUCGAUCACCUUCCUUCCUGUUGUUGAAUUUUCAAAGUCAGUAGGAUGAUAUAAUACAGAGAUCAGUUACUACCAUUUCAGAAAUUUCUUUAAACCAAUUCACUAUAUUCAGAUAUUAGUUAGUUAACUUAUUAAUUAGCCAACGAACUUCCAUAUGCCAUUUAUAUGUUUUUAAUUUAAUACUGACGUUAUAAUAAAGAAUAUUAAAUAAUAUACUUUAAACAGUGUACUGUUAAGUGGGACGUUUUUGCGACAGGUUUAUCAUUUGCUAAUUUCGCGAUAUAAAGCCGAACAAAUAUUUUCACGUAAAACUUGAUCCUUAUGGAAGAUAAGAGUCAGACAAAAAUAUUAAACUUGCGAACAGGUUGGGCUUUUUGAAUCGCACAAACUAUUCUCUACGAUAAAAACCUACUUGAUAGUUUAAUAGACUCAGACGUCAAAUUGUUAAAUUUGAUAUACUGUUUUUUUUUUGUCGGAGAUUUUUGAAUUUCAAGAACCUAAUUAUUCAAUGAAAACUGACCUUUACCACCCUGUCUCAGAUGUUUGUGAAAAUUUGACUUUAAACGAUACCACUUUUACUGUUUCGUGUGGUUAAGGCAAUAUAAUUUUAUAAUUGAAAAACCUAAUACAUGUACAGAUUCCAAAUAGCUGAUGGAAUAGAACAGAAAAAAACAGAUCAGGACAAUGCAGGAAUCAGAGAUUCUCUAGAAGGACAUCAAUACACUUGUUAAAUUUAUUUUCCUAUUGAUAACAGCAAUUUUAAUAUACUAAUAUCCGUAUUGUCCUAUCAGUAUCGACGUACUGAAAGAAUGGAUAAAUUGUAUCCUCUGGAAGUAGGUGUCCAUCUUCAUAGGCACUGAUCCACUGAUUGAUAUAACCAAAUUUUCUACAUCCGAAGAGCAUUCCGAGAUUUAAUGUAUUUUCAUUGUUGCUCGAGGACGGAAAAAACCCACUUCUUUAUCAAACGUUGAAGAGGUAAUGAAACCUAAAAACGACCAACAAUAAUAGCCUAAUGGAUUAGGAUUCAGAGCUUUGCAUGAGUGAGAUACGUUCCUUAUUUGUAAAUGAUUUUGCACAUAAUUGUAUAACAUAUAAUUCAAUCGCCAUUUUUACAAAAUCUACUUUUUCAUAGUAUUUGAAAAAAGGUGCAAACGUUAAAUGAAUGACAAAUCUAGUGAACAUUUUUUUCCGCCAAAUUUUCAAUGGCCUAUAUUUCAAAAACAAGAACACGGACUUUUGACUUUGUUUUCCUUUUUCAGUUCAGUAUUUUAAAUUCUGACAAUUUAUAACAGUCUUUCAAAAAACCUGAUAACAGAGAAGCUAACAGCUAACAACAGCCUACAACAAUUGAUAAAACAGUGUUCCCAAACUUAAUCACAUAGUGUUGCUUCCAAAUUAUAGAGUAAUGCUAGAUUAUAAUUUUAAAUAUUCCGUGCGUACCUAAGACAACGAAAAAAGGGGCAUAAUUCAUUAAAGAAUAGUUGAUCUUCACUCAUUUUUCAAUUUUUCCGAGACUUUUCUGAUAUGAACCUAUGAUAUAAGUUUAAUAAAACCUGUAAAGAAUUGUACAUGUGAGAGCCCUAAAACAAAUCCAGACGGAUAGAUGCACCGACGCACGGACAAACGGACUCCCAGUUUUCUACGUCCCCCGAAAACGAGUUCCGAUGGGGACACAAAUUCAUGCAUAUGAGUCAGUAACUGAACAAUAUAUUGAAACCAGCUAGAUGCAAUGACAACACUAUUAAUUAAUUAAUAUGACCGUUGUAAUAUGCACUUUAUUAAAAUCAUCUUAUUGUAGGAUGUUACCAGUUGCCAGAGCAAAGAGACAUAGUUUUUGAGUCAUCAACCGGAUUAUGCUUAUGGAAAUGUAAUAAUACGAAUUAUUUUAGUUAUAAGGAAAAUCUGCAAGAAUGCAUUUGUCUAAAUCAUUUAAAAGAGAAUAUUAACUUUAGAUCAUGGCUAAGUUUAGAUAAGUGCACAAAAUACAACGAUUCUCAAGCAGUAUUAGUUCACAAGGUCUUUAAGGGUGAUUAUCGAAGAAGUGGCAAAGAUGAAGAGAUGUGUAUGACCUUUAUGUGUAAUGGAGGAAAUAUAUCACAACUAUAUGAAACACAUUGCAUGAAUAACAGUGAAAGUAUACAAGGCUUGUGCAAAGAUGGACUCGCCUCAUCAAUUAGUGAAUACUGGGGAUUGCCUUAUUCGACUCAUUUGGAAAACUGCAAGAAUAGACAAAUGUUGCUCAUGCAUUCUAGCGGUUGUAUGUACUGGACCCUCUGGAAAAGAAUAUGGACAAAUAUUUUCCGUGAAAAUAUAGAAGUAGAGAUUCCAGGAGGAAAUGAUAGCAGGAUCUCUGUUUGAUGCUUAUCGGCAAAUAUAUCUGUAACAGAAAUUAAAGAUUUACAAAUUUCACAAGAAAGCUGUACAUCAAGACUGAAUUGGUUUGUCUGCAUGAAAAAUCAUGUGGAUUUUUCAAAACGACUAAUACGGAUAAGCAAGGACUCCAAUUCUCAACAGCAGUCUGUGAGCAUUCAGGAAAUCCGGCAGUGAGAACAAGUGUAACGCCGACAUCUAACGAAUCCUAUGGGUUAGCUUCAAUCAAUUCUACCAACACGUAUGCAGUCGUUAACAAAAUUAAAAAAACGGAUUCUAAAUUACAAAAUUUUGACGAAACUUAUGCUGAAACAUCGUACGGAAAAUAUGAUCGAUUAAAUGGUGUAUCGAAACGAGAAAUAGAAUCAAAGGAAAAUUUAUAUGACAGCCAUGCAGGAAUUCGUAACGAAAAUGACCCAACAUACGAUAGUUCCAACUUUGGAGGAAGAAAACUGCAACUUGAUAACGAUGUUUAUGAUCAUACAGACUCAAUAUUGACAGACGGUUAUUCAAAAACUGUUAUAUCAGAAAUAAGAAGUGAAAAUGAUGUAUAUGAUAAAGCAGUGUAGCGCUGCAACAUUCAAUUUCCAGAGAAAAAAAAAAGUUAGUAAUGUGGGAACUAAAACAAAAUCAUUUGUCACGUAUGGUUUGACCAAAAUAACGCCUUCAUAUAUCUUAUAAUUAUUUUUUAAAUAAUUAACCAACGUUGACCUAGGAAAUCAUACAAGUACUAAAUGUUUUUAAAAGUCAUGUAUAGUUCACUUAUUCUAUGCGAAUUUUGUUCUCUUUAAAGCAUGCAUACAAAUAGAUAGGUUUAGAUUUCGCGGUAAGGCAGGAAACCAGAAGUUAAAAAAUGCUAAAAGGGGUUGAAAAUUAAAAUGGGAACCUUUCUCUCUUUGUCGUUUAAAGAUUGUCACAACUCUGUCCUGGUCUGAUCACAUCAACUAUGUUAUCAAAAAUCUUAAUUCGUCAUAAGCGUCACUGAACAGAAUUAGGAAAUACUUGAAUCAUGAUGUACAAAUUUUAUUUAACAAUGCUUAUUUUAUUCCAAAAUUGUAUUGCUGUUUUUCAGCAAUUUUUAAUUGACUGUUUUCUAAAAUAAUUAGCAUGAAUAAUUCUUAACAAACACGGUAUUCGAAACCUGUCUAUUGAGGAAGAUACGGAAUCUGGAAGUAUUUCAGUUAAUAGAAGAACACUUUACCACGAAUCAUUACUUAGUAAAAACAUAAAGUUGCACCGAAAUGCUUAUCAAAUCUAAUUUUGCCAUGAAAUAGCAAACAAUCAGGCAAUACUCGACUUUUAUAUGAUAGUUUGAUUGUUCUUAUAUAAAACACGGAAUUAAUACAUUUUUGUUAGAAGUCCUUUAAUAUUAUACAUGUUAUAUAUAUAUUAUCUAUCAUUAUGUAUUGGGAGAUUGAUUUUGUUUUAACUAUGUAAAUAAUAUUAUGUUCCGAGAGAAAUAUGAUCAUUGGUUUAAUCUAAAUGAAUUACUUUUUAAAUAAUUAUAUUAUUUUCAUUAUUAAUGAUUAAAAUUGGCUUUAGAUUGAAGUCUCAUUGACAAAUACCCUACGGUUUCUUUAAUCUAUAUAAAUUUCAAGUUUUUUGUUACCUGAUUUCAUAUGUUGACUUAUUUUGAGUGUGUGUCUUUCAUUCAUGCUUAAAGGAUUCACCUACGGACAUUUUAAAAAAUUCAUCGUCAUUUAAACUAUUUUUAAUCGGUUCUGAUUACGUCAUAAUUUUGUUUGUUUUUGUGAAGCACAUAUUAAGUGCCACACUGCCUAUAGAAUCAGGAAACAAAGUUGGUGAAAACAUGACAAACAAAAACCCGCUCAAGUGACAUUAAUUGAAGAUCAGAAUGUAUAAUUGUGCACGAAUAUAACAUUCUUUUCAUUGUUUUUUUCUGGUAUUUCAAGAUAUAAGUUGGUUGAAAUGCACUAGAAAUUAGCAAUUAAGGGGAGCUUACUCCGUAAUUUGAUAUCAUUCUAACCUCUAGAUAUUUCUCAAAUUAUCGGACACGCAGUAAAAAAAGAAGUACUAUUUCUAACUGAGGAUGAGAAUAUCUUCAUAACAUUAUGGUUGGGUCUGUUGGGUUGUUGCAGUCAUGUUUUGAAAUUCGUCACAAUUACAUGGUUCUUGCAUAUACUGGCAUUCAAUAUGUAAUAUAUUUUUAGAUCAAUAAUAUCAACUAAUGCAUAUCGGUUUUUCAGCUAUCUAAUGAAAAGAUAAAGGUGUCUUUAUUUACAUUUCAUCGAUAUCAAAGAACGUGCAUAUCAUUACCUUUUGAUUCUGGUUUGUAGAAAAUACAUUUAAAUCAUAUUUUAUGCUGAUAAGCUGACAUGCUUUUUAUCCUAUAUGUUAUUUUUAUUUGCCCAAUCAGCUUAAUCACGGUAGGUUUACAUGACUUUUCAUCUUAUUCUGAAUAUUUAACAUGUUAUAAGCACAAACGACUCACAGUUUUCUUGUCGUUCAUUAAUAAUUCAGUGUAUUUUUGAGAGCAACAUUUAAAACUAACGGUUUUUUAACAAAUGGUCUUGGUUUUUCAAAAAGAAUUUGAAUAAGAAAGAAGGCAUUAUAUCUUGGGUUUAAAAACGAACUUUUUCUAGUUUGUAACUGUAAUUUAGCGAAAGGCAAUAAUAUACAUCGUUUUAUUUUUCCAAUAGCUAAAAUGGACUAUGUUGAUCAAAUUUAACUUUUCAGUUUAAUACAAUUUUCUGUUCUGAAAACAUUAAACCAUAAUCUUGCAGUAUUACUAUAUAUAAGACAUAACUGGAUUUUUUGUAAACCUGACUUUAGAACCGAGACCAGGGAUAAAUAAUUUUCACAAUGUCAUUUAAUGCCACACUUUUUUCUCAGUUUAAAAUAAUAGUUUGGGAUUUAUAUAUAUAUCAAAGUUACGAAACCUGCAGUUUUAAAAAUAAAGUUAAGAAAAGGAAGGGACAGAAGUUAAAUGCAAUAUACCAUAAAUAUUCUACGAAGAGAGGCCUGGAACCAACAAGUUCCCCUCCAUCCCCCCCCCCCCCUCCC